rnacentral:rRNA from 1 species
UACGUAGUAGGCAAGCGUUGUCCGGAAUGACUGGGCGUAAAGGGUGCGUAGGUGGUUUGGCAAGUUAGUAGCGUAACCCCGGGGCUCAACCUCGGAACUACUACUAAAACUGUCGGACUUGAGUGCAGGAGGGGCAAUUGGAAUUCCUAGUGUAGCGGUGGAAUGCGUAGAUAUUAGGAGGAACACCAGUGGCGAAGGCGAAUUGCUGGACUGUAACUGACACUGAGGCACGAAAGCGUGGGGAGCAAACAGG